AACCAGCGCAGACUUGGCACGCCCCAGGGAUCUCUGGGCGAGUAUCUGAGCGCCUCACUCUCAAGCACGACUAGGAGG
rnacentral:pre_miRNA from 1 species